AUAUUUCUUAUCGCUUGAUUUUAGAUUUCUUCUGAUUCAAAGUUAGUUUUUUACAAUUGGGGAAAUUUAAUGUUGAAAAAAUACGAAUUUGUGUGCAAUGGUUUUUGUAUGUAGUCGUAGAAAUCUUUAUAUGUAAUUUAGGAUAAUUGCGAAUGAAAGGGUCGUUAAGGUGAUGAGGAUGGGUUUUGUUCAUCUCAUCAGCAGUUUCCUCAAAAUUUUCAACGGUUCACUAUGGAUUGGACUUGUACCAUUAGCAAAAGCACAAUCGAUACACAAAAAAAGAAGCAGUGGGUAACAAAAACAAGAAUUAUGAUGUAAAAUAUCAUUUUAAAAUAUAUUUUGAUAAUGAAAAAAUAA